GACGAACGCUGGCGGCGUGCUUAACACAUGCAAGUCGAACGGAAAGGCCCUGCUUUUGUGGGGUGCUCGAGUGGCGAACGGGUGAGUAACACGUGAGUAACCUGCCCUUGACUUUGGGAUAACUUCAGGAAACUGGGGCUAAUACCGGAUAGGAGCUCCUGCUGCAUGGUGGGGGUUGGAAAGUUUCGGCGGUUGGGGAUGGACUCGCGGCUUAUCAGCUUGUUGGUGGGGUAGUGGCUUACCAAGGCUUUGACGGGUAGCCGGCCUGAGAGGGUGACCGGCCACAUUGGGACUGAGAUACGGCCCAGACUCCUACGGGAGGCAGCAGUGGGGAAUAUUGCACAAUGGGAGGAAGCAUGAUGCAGCAACGCCGCGUGCGGGAUGACGGCCUUCGGGUUGUAAACCGCUUUCGCCUGUGACGAAGCGUGAGUGAGGGUAAUGGGUAAAGAAGCACCGGCUAACUACGUG
rnacentral:rRNA from 1 species